UUUAAGACUAAGACGUUGAUAGGUUGGGUGUGUAAGCGUAGCGAUACGUUGAGCUAACCAAUACUAAUGAACCGUGAGGCUUAACCUGACAACACCGAAGGUGUUUUAG
rnacentral:rRNA from 1 species